AUCCAACUGACGAGUAACAAAUAGAACGAAACGCACGUUCUGGAU
rfam:Schistosoma curassoni strain Dakar, Senegal genome assembly, scaffold: SCTD_contig0007153